rnacentral:lncRNA from 1 species
ACGUACUAAAGCAGGGACGGAGCCAGGAAUUAAUGUUACGGGGGGCAAAACUUUAGAAAUUUAAUGUACGAAUAAAAUUCAUAAAUAACAAAAAAAGUCAUAAUAUAAUAUUAUCAGUUACAGUUGUACUCGACGAUGUUUUAUAGCAUAAAAUUCAUCAAUAAUAGAAUCUAAAUUUAAAUUCAAAGAAAAUUCUCGUUCAAUGUAAAGUGUCAUACAAUCAGCAAGAAAACCAUCUUCCAUUUUGUUACGAAUUUCCAUCUUCACACGUUUCAUUGUAGAAAAUGUUCGCUCUACGGUAGUCGUUGAAACAGGGAGUGUCAAUAUUAGAUGAAUCAAUUUAGUCAAAUUGACGUAACUCUCCGAUCUUCUACUUGCAACCAAUUCUUGACAUAAAUCAAAAAGCGUAGAUACUUGAAAUCGAGGCUCAGAAAUCACAUCAUGCUGAUAAUGUUGCAACUCAACUUUCAAACUAUAAAUAUCUUGCUAUGUGAAAUCUUGAGGAUAAAAUUUCUCUGCAAGCUUGCAAAUAUUAUCCAUGUUAAAUGAUUCAAAAGAAUUUUUCGGAUCCAAUGCCACACCGAGAGAAAGGAGUUCUAAUGAUGUCUCAUUAAAUCUUGUAUCUAACUUCAUCAUCAGAAAAUCUAUGGCUGCAUUAAAAAUAUCGAAGUGGUAAUGAUAUUCGAUGGUAGGAUACUCACGACCACGAGAAUGACCAACCAUGUAUGAGCUAUGAAAGUCAGGUAUAUGUAUAUCAUUUUUUGAACAAAAACAAUUCAUCUCUUCAAGAAAUUCUUCCCAACUAUCUUCUCUCAAUUCUUGAAUGAUGGUUUUUGUAGUAUGGACAAAUCUCAUAGCAGUUAAGAUAUCUUGAAAUUUUUUCUGAAGGGCUUGACAAAGCACAUCUGUGAUUGCCAACAUUCUGCGCAUUAAAUGCAAAAUAAAUACAAAUUCAAAUGUUGUCAAUUUUUUGUAUACACCACCUACUUCAGACCGAGUUCUUACAUUUGGAGAAUGACCACUAAGAUACUCAAGCACCUUGCAAGUUGCAGCAUACAUAUCAAUCAAACUCUUUACAGAGUUGUAAUGAGAAGACCAACGAGUACCUCCAGCUCGUUGCAAGUUACCAAUUUGAUUAGUCCCACUUCCAGUCUCUCGUUCUCCAAUUUCCAACAAAUGUUCAAUUUCUUUUUUUUUUUGGGAGCUUUUCAACUCAUUGACGCGCUUAGGAGAGAUGUAAUCAUAUUAAUAACAUUGUCCAAAUCUGAAAAGAAUGAAUUAAUAUCUGCGACAUCCCUAGCUGCUGAAACCAACAUGAGUUGUAAAUGAUGGGCAAAAUAAUGGACAUAAUAUGCAUAUGGACAAUCUCUAAGAAAUAAUGUUUGUAUUCCAUUCCAAGCACCACACAUAUUAUUAGCACCAUCAUACCCUUGACCUCUCAUGUUUUGCACUUGAAUGUUGAAACGAACAAGAACAUUAGAAAUUUGAUUCUUAAGAUUCAACGAUGUAGUGUCACUAACAUUUUUGAUUGCAAAAAAACGCUCUGUCAAAAUUCCAUUACCAUUCACAAACCUCAAGAUAAUAGCCAUUUGUUCUUGUGAAGAUGCAUCUCGAGCUUCAUCAACAAGAAUACUAAACUUUGCAUCCCCAAUUUCUUUACAAAUUCUCUGUCUUACUCUGUUAGCCAUAAUGCUCAAAAUCUCUUUUUGAAUGUCUGGAGAUGUGUAUGUAGCAUUUUUUGGAGCAUUACCCAACACAACUUCUCCUAUUUUUGUAUUCAUUUUUCCAAAUGCAUCUACCAUUUCAAGAAAGUUCCCACGAUUCAGUGAAGAUGGAGAUUCAUCAUUGCCUCUAAAUGAACAACUUUGAAGUGCUAGCCACCAAACACUCAUAAUUGUGGUCAUUAGACGCAAACAAUUUUUCUGUUCUUCCUAACUCAUAAUAUGUUGAGUUGGUUUCAUUAGAUCUUCAGCUCUUCUCUUACAGCUAUUAUGAUAUGAUGAAGAUGUUGUACCAAUAUGAACAAGAAAUGCACAUUUACUUCCCUGGCCAACCCUCUUCCAACUAUCAAAUCCAACAGUAACCAAUGAUGAAAUAUUAGGUGGAACACUUUCAUUGAGAAAAAGAAAGCAGAAAAAGCAAUAUACCUUAUGUGUUGAAGGCGAAUACUCUAACCAAGAAUACUGAUUGUACCAAUGCUCUUGAAAUCGACGUUUCUGUUUUUCAAAUUCUUUGCUUUGAUACUCCACAAGUUUUGGUUGAUAAGGCCCAGCUUUUAAAUAGGCACACCUAAUUUGAUCACGUUCAUUAAACGGAUAUUCAUAUAUUUGCUUUUUUUUCUUGGGUCUCGCUCUAUAGAAUCAGAUGGUUCUAACUUAACAUUGAAAGAUGAAGACCGUUCAAUUUCAGGAGAUGCAAUUGGAGGAUUGGGUACCGUAGGAGUUGGAGCACCCUUGGGCUUGUCGCUCUUUGUAAAGAAAGAUAAUAAGAUUCUUCCUUUCUUGGCAAGAGGUCGAUUCGGUUCCAUAUUAAAAUCUAAAAGCAUAAAAAAAAAAUCAAAACACUUCAGUAUCCCAACAAUCCACUAGCAACAUUUUAACCACUUAUCUAACCUUUCAAAAAUAUUAUAACUAGUUAAAAAUUAAUACCAAAUCUAAGAAUUAUCAUAAACUCAUAUCCAGAUCCAAAUAUCGUAUUAAACAUAAGUAUACAUAAAUGGCAGAAGAUAAUUGUAAAUGAUCAAUUACUUAUAAGAAAAAGUAUUGGAUUCACCAGACAGAAUAAAACUGGAAAAAUUGCUGUGCUUGGAGUAUCUAGGCAGCAGAAUAGUGAAAAAUUUGUGAAAAUCCCAAACAAUAAAACUGUUUCCGGCACUAUUCCAUGAGAUCACUGAAUCUGUAGAGACCGAGAGAGAGAUUCAGAGAGAGAGAUGCGUUGUAAAUCUGGG